AUUGAACGCUGGCGGCAUGCCUUACACAUGCAAGUCGAACGGCAGCACGGGAGCUUGCUCCUGGUGGCGAGUGGCGAACGGGUGAGUAAUACAUCGGAACGUACCCUGAAGUGGGGGAUAACGUAGCGAAAGUUACGCUAAUACCGCAUAUUCUGUGAGCAGGAAAGAGGGGGAUCGCAAGACCUCUUGCUUUAGGAGCGGCCGAUGUCGGAUUAGCUAGUUGGUGAGGUAAAGGCUCACCAAGGCGACGAUCCGUAGCGGGUCUGAGAGGAUGAUCCGCCACACUGGGACUGAGACACGGCCCAGACUCCUACGGAGGCAGCAGUGGGGAAUUUUGGACAAUGGGCGCAAGCCUGAUCCAGCCAUGCCGCGUGAGUGAAGAAGGCC
rnacentral:rRNA from 1 species